rnacentral:rRNA from 1 species
GUCUAUGGCCAUGCUCCCCUGAACAAACUCCAUCCCGUCUGAUGUCGGAAGCUAAGCAGGGUUGAGCCUGGUUAGUACUUGGAUGGGAGACUACCUAGGAAGACCAGGUGCUGUAGGCA